rnacentral:rRNA from 1 species
UACGAAGGGUGCAAGCGUUAAUCGGAAUUACUGGGCGUAAAGCGUGCGUAGGCGGCCUUGUAAGUCGGAUGUGAAAGCCCCGGGCUCAACCUGGGAAUGGCAUUCGAGACUGCGGGGCUGGAGUUUGGGAGAGGGUGGUGGAAUUCCCGGUGUAGCGGUGAAAUGCGUAGAGAUCGGGAGGAACAUCAGUGGCGAAGGCGGCCACCUGGCCUAAAACUGACGCUGAGGCACGAAAGCGUGGGGAGCAAACAGG